UCAACCAAGAAUAUAGAGAAAGAGCUUCUGCCCUGAGACUCAGAAAAAUAUUCUACACUGCUUCUGUUCAGUAUAGAUUUCUAGACCCUGAUCAUUGCUUAACAGAUUUUCACUGGGGGUCCUACGUCUCUGCAAUUUGUGUAUGAAUAACAGAAUAAUUUUCCUCUUUUGUUUCGCCUUUCCUGUUCCUGAAUCUAAAUAAAGAUGGCUUUUUAGUAUUAAAAGUGGAAGAAAAUUACAGGUAAUUAUCUUUGACGGUAAAAACGCUGUAAUCAGCGGGCUACAUGAAAAAUUACUCUAAUUAUGGCUGCAUUUAAGAGAAUGGAAAAAAAAAACCUUCUUGUGGAUAAAAACCUUAAAUUGUCCCCAAUGUCUGCUUCAAAUUGGAUGGCACUGCAGCUGGAGGCUUUGUUCAGAAUUGAUCCUGGGGAGCUCUGAACCCAAAGUUUCACAGUAGGAAGGGGGGAAAAAGAAAAGAAAACAUUUUUCUUAAUGUAACAAUACGAAUGGUAGAAAAUGACAAGACUGAUCGGUUUUAAACCAUUCUGAAGACUGACUGAGCGUGGAAGUUGCUCAACAAAAAAAAGGAACGGGUAUAUUGGAUCUCGGUAGAGAGUAAAAAACAAUGCUUAAAAUAAAACUGGAACAGAUAUCCCAGAGGGAUUCAUUAUCUACAAACUCUCUGGAGAAAAAUCUAAGCAGAAACCAGUGGUUGGGACUUUAAAAAAAGUUCUGAUGGACCGUGGAACCUACCGCCUGGCCCGAACUGCACCAGCCCCACUACCUAAUCUCAGCCCACUGGGAUAUUUACUGGGCUAUCUACACAUGAAGGGCCAGAUCCCAAGUCCAUUGAGAUGUGGCCUUCAGGAGAACCUCCUACACACCAGUGGAGUGCCUUCACCAGAUAAAGAAGUGACCAAGGAGGAGUAAGGAUGACAUGAAUCAAGAAGUGCUUCAAUCCUCAGAAUGCAGGGUGCAGACUUUAAAAGAAAAUUAUAAAAUAUACAGGCAGGACAGAAAGAAGAGCCAAGACUGAAAUUUAAUGGGUCAGGAGCAAAUUAUAAAAGUGAUGGUGGAGCAAAUGGAGAUGUUGAAGUCCCUAAUCCUGCUGCACACUGAAUUCAUGCAUGGUUCCCCGCCCCCGAAGCCGAUACAGAACUGCUUUCCAUGCCCUCCUGAAAUUCCUCCCAUAUAUUCCUUGCAAUUUCCUGGCCUGUCUACGUAUUCCAUUCAAUCCAUCCCUUCUGACAGCUCCAAGAUGAUAGCUGGACUCACACAUAGCUAAAAGAGCCUACACUGAUGUUCGUUAUUAUCUCCCUUCCCACCAAGCCUUUUGUGUUUGUUGUUAAUUAGUAUUUAAUAAA